rnacentral:misc_RNA from 1 species
AAGGAGGAAAAUGAUGUAAAUAUGUAGAUUUGAUCUGCAGCUUUGCUUCAAUUCUUUUAUUUGUAGAACAGUCUCUGUUGUAUGUAUCCCCAAGUCCUGGGAAUGAUUUAUAAUCUUAGUGAAAGAGAAGAAAAUCGAAGUGUGUAGUCAUGGGUGAUCAGUCAUUGAGGUUAGGAAGUAGAACUGAUUUAGUGACUGACUUUGUUCUUCUUUUUCUUCUGAGGUUAGGAAGCAGAACUGAUUUAGUGUUCAAAUGGUAGUUCCCACCAAUGUACAUUCAAAUGUAGUCCUAGCACUUCCCC